GCUAUCUGCAGUCGACGGUAAGUUGAGUAGCAAUACUUGACCUAGAGUGACGUACGGGUGCGUAACACGUAUGCAACCUACCCAGAACAGGAGUAUAGCUCGGGGAAACUCGAAUUAAUCCUCCAUAAGAUAGUAGCAGAGCACUCUGUAGCUAUUAAAACUACGGUGGUUUUGGAUGGGCAUGCGUUUGAUUAGCUAGUUGGUAGUGUAAUGGACUACCAAGGCGAUGAUCAAUAGGGGAACUGAGAGGUUGAUCCCCCACACUGGCACUGAGAUACGGGCCAGACUCCUACGGGAGGCAGCAGUAGGGAAUAUUGGUCAAUGGAUGCAAGUCUGAACCAGCCAUGCCGCGUGCAGGAAGAAGGCCUUCUGGGUUGUAAACUGCUUUUGUCAGGGGAUAAAAAAUUCCUUGCGAGGAAUAUUGAAGGUACCUGGCGAAUAAGCCACGGCUAACUACGUGCCAGCAGCCGCGGUAAUACGUAGGUGGCGAGCGCUGUCCGGAUUUAUUGGGUUUAAAGGGUGCGUAGGCGGCCCUAUAAGUCAGUGGUGAAAUAUCGCAGCUUAACUGUGAGGGUGCCAUUGAUACUGUAGGGCUUGAGUGAAUUUGAGGUAGGCGGAAUUGACGGUGUAGCGGUGAAAUGCUUAGAUAUCGUCAAGAACACCGAUAGUGAAGACAGCUUACCAAGCUUCAACUGACGCUGAGGCACGAAAGUGUGGGGAUCAAACAGGAUUAGAUACCCUGGUAGUCCACACUGUAAACGUUGAUUACUCGCUGUUGGCGAUACACAGCCAGCGGCUAAGCGCAAGCGAUAAGUAAUCCACCUGGGGAGUACGCCGGCAACGGUGAAAC
rnacentral:rRNA from 1 species